UACGUAGGGUGCAAGCGUUGUCCGGAUUUAUUGGGCGUAAAGAGUUCGUAGGCGAUUCCGUAAGUUACAUUUCAAAGACCGGGGCUCAACCUCGGAAAGGGGUGUAAUACUGCGGAAAUAGAAAUACUUAGGGGCUACCGGAACUUACUAUGUAGGGGUGAAAUCCGUUGAUAUGGUAAGGAACGCCAAGGGCGAAGGCAGGUAGCUGGGAGUUAUUUGACGCUGAGGAACGAAAGCUAGGGGAGCGAAAGGGAUUAGAUACCCGCGUA
rnacentral:rRNA from 1 species